rnacentral:rRNA from 1 species
GACAGAGGUCUCGAGCGUUAGGCGGAAUCACUGGGCUUAAAGCGUGUGUAGGUGGAUGCCUAAGUACCUUGUGAAAUCUCACGGCUUAACCGUGGAACUGCUUGGUAUACUGGGUGUCUUGAGUCAGCUAGGGGCUACCGGAACAAAUGGUGGAGCGGUGAAAUGCGUAGAUAUCAUUUGGAACGCCAAUGGUGAAAACAGGUAGCUGGGGCUGUGCUGACACUGAGACACGAAAGCCAGGGGAGCGAACGGG